rnacentral:rRNA from 1 species
CUUGCUUCCGCCGACGACCGGCGCACGGGUGCGUAACGCGUAUACAAUCUACCUUAUACUGGGGUAUAGCCUUUAGAAAUGAAGAUUAACCCCCCAUAGUCUCUUAGAGUGGCAUCACUUCUAGAGUAAAGGUUACGGUAUAAGAUGAGUAUGCGUUCUAUUAGUUUGUUGGUGUGGUAACGGCACACCAAGACUACGAUAGAUAGGGGCCCUGAGAGGGGGAUCCCCCACACUGGUACUGAGACACGGACCAGACUCCUACGGGAGGCAGCAGUGAGGAAUAUUGGACAAUGGAGGCAACUCUGAUCCAGCCAUGCCGCGUGCAGGAAGACUGCCCUAUGGGUUGUAAACUGCUUUUAUACAGGAAGAAACACCUCUACGUGUAGAGGUUUGACGGUACUGUAAGAAUAAGGAUCGGCUAACUCCGUGCCAGCAGCCGCGGUAAUACGGAG